GCAGAAGUAAAACAGCCUCCACCUACAAAAACAUGCAUCAUAAAACAGGCGUAAGCGCUCACUGGAAGCUGAUUACAAAAUGAGAGGACUCACACUGCUCUGUUUGGUGGGACUUAUUCUCACAGCUUCGCUGCAUGAAGGAAGCACAGCACCAGCAGAGAAUACUCAAACUGAGUUGUGCUAUGGGUGCUGGGGUCCCCUUGAAGGUACACGUGAUGAAACUGAAUCAGCCGGGGGAAAUGACACACAGACCGUUCAUCAGAACAUUUCAGUGGAAGCAACAGUGGACGACCGUGAUUCUGCUCAUGUUACUGUCUUACCUAAAUAAUCAUUAAAAGUCUGUUGUGAGAAAAGUU